rnacentral:rRNA from 1 species
UACGUAGGGUGCAAGCGUUUGUCCGGAAUUAUUGGGCGUAAAGAGCUCGUAGGCGGUCUGUCGCGUCUGCUGUGAAAACCUAGGGCUUAACUCUGGGCGUGCAGUGGGUACGGGCAGGCUAGAGUGCGGUAGGGGAGACUGGAAUUCCUGGUGUAGCGGUGAAAUGCGCAGAUAUCGGAGGAGACACCGGUGGCGAAGGCGGGUCUCUGGGCCGUAACUGACGCUGAGACACGAAAGCGUGGGUAGCAAACAGG